rnacentral:snRNA from 1 species
AGCUUUGCGCAGUGGCAGUAUCGUAGCCUAUGAGGUUUAUCCGAGGUGCGAUUAUUGCUAGUUGAAAACUUUACCCAAUACCCCGCCUUGACGACUUGAAAUAUAGUCGGCAAUGGCAAUUUUUGACGGUCUCUAAGGAGA